AGAUACCCGGCGGGCGGUUCCUCCUCCCUCUGCCUGCCGGGCGAAGCGGCCAGCACCUCCUCCCGCUGGUCACCAAAGGAAAAGGCCGGCACCUCCUCCCGCCGGCCUUUUUCUUU
rnacentral:sRNA from 2 species